GAUGAACGCUGGCGGCGUGCCUAAUACAUGCAAGUCGAGCGAACAGACGAGGAGCUUGCUCCUCUGACGUUAGCGGCGGACGGGUGAGUAACACGUGGAUAACCUACCUAUAAGACUGGGAUCACUUCGGGAAACCGGCGCUAAUACCGUAUAAUAUAUUGAACCGCAUGGUUCAAUAGUGAAAGACGGCUUUGCUGUCACUUAUAGCUGGAUCCGCGCCGCAUUAGCUAGUUGGUAAGUUAACGGCUUACCAAGGCAACGAUGCGUAGCCGAACUGAGAGGGUUAUCGGCCACACUGGAACUGAGACACGGUCCAGACUCCUACGAGAGGCAGCAGUAGCGAAUCUUCCGCAGUGGGCGAAAGCCUGGCGGAGCAACGCGGCGUGAGUGAUAGAGGUCUUCGGAUCGUAAAACUCUGUUAUGAGGGAAGAACAAAUGUGUAAGUAACUAUGCACGUCUUGACGGUACCUAAUCAGAAAGCCACGGCUAACUACGUG
rnacentral:rRNA from 1 species